GUGACAGCAGCACCUUGUGACUGAUAUUCUCAGACACUGCUGAGGCUAUGGACUCAUAAGCAUGAGCCUAGGUGUUUGUACCUUGUCCAUGGCCAGGAAAAGGUCAUAUACCGUCACCGCUAGGGCUGUUUCCAUGCUGUAGCUCAAUUUAAAAUUACAAUUAUGAGGGGCCCAGAUCAUCUGAAAGAUUACAUGCUGUCAUAGCUUGGACACCAUUAUCUUCCAAGUGAACACACCUACAAUGUAGAAGCUGGCAACAGCUUUCUUGUUUUUAGUGAAUUUAAAGCUCUUGAAAGGCUCUAGACUGACUGCCUUGAAGACUGGAGUCAUUAUCCGCAGAACCAAUAGAGCACGGGAAGCAGCAGUGGAAAUUUGGGGUGAAUUUAUACUUCUCUAGCAGCUGGAGAUAGGAAAAUGGUUGGCAAACAGAGGAGCUUUGGUGUGUGGUCCUACGACCACAAAUUGGCAUGGCUACAUUGAAUUUUUCAGUGACUGAAGCUGAGAUCUGGCCUUGGAGAAAGGGCCUUAUUUUCAGAAUGCUACUGCUCAACACCUGCAAGCUCCCAGUCCAGCCAGGUCUUUGUAUCAAAACUAGUGUUUCAAGCCCAAGCUGGAGCUCUCAAUGCCUUAGAGGUCACCCUGGGAAAAUAAAAUUGAUAGCAGUCUUGACAAGUAAAGACAUCCCUUCCUUCCGUCACACACAGAGAUGCAUCCAUAGAAAGUCCUCACAGCGGAAUUUGUUUCCUCUUAUGUGAAAUGAGAUUGACUCUUCUGCAUGUAACUCACUGUGCUGCACUGGGGGCAAGGGUGUUCCUCCUCCUCCCACUGACUGCCAGAGUUGAAUGCCUGACCACAUUCCCUUUGUGUGACUUCAGUUCCACGCCAGAUUUCAAAGUGACCAAUACAGAAUCUGUGCUUUUGAGAGGACUUCAUGGUGAGAGACAACAUACAUCAAAGUUCAGCCUGGGAGCUUGUUGCAGAUGAUUUCACAACAGCAACAGCAGAUGAGACAGCUCUUUGUUGGGGUGUAACAGAGCUCUUCACUGAAGCCACAGCAGCAGAGCUGAGUGAACUCUGAAUCCCAGAAAAUGGAAAUUCAUGCAAGACAAACUGGCUGCAAAGGAAUUGCAGAGGGGAUGCAUAAAUGAUCUGUGCCUAGGACAAGGAGACAGAACCCCCACAUUUGUAAUCAUAGCUUUUUCCAAUGCCUUUUUUUUUGGUGUUGGAGAAAUAAACGAAGGAGCAUACCAGUCCUCCCUUCACCCUUUGUUUUUCAUUUGGAAUUAUCAGCUGACUUCUUACAUGGGAACUGAGAGCCCCAGUGAAUGCAGUUACUUCUAUAGACAUUCUUCUGCCAGCAAG